CCGCCCCAACGGCUUCCUGACGGGGCAGGUCUGAAAUUAUCGGAGCA
rnacentral:ncRNA from 1 species